GCGUGAAGUUGACCGCCUGGGGAGUACGGUCGCAAGAUUAAAACUCAAAGGAAUUGACGGGGACCCGCACAAGCGGUGGAUGAUGUGGAUUAAUUCGAUGCAACGCGAAAAACCUUACCUACCCUUGACAUGUCCGGAAUCCUGCAGAGAUGCGGGAGUGCCCGAAAGGGAAUCGGAACACAGGUGCUGCAUGGCUGUCGUCAGCUCGUGUCGUGAGAUGUUGGGUUAAGUCCCGCAACGAGCGCAACCCUUAUCAUUAGUUGCUACGCAAGGGCACUCUAAUGAGACUGCCGGUGACAAACCGGAGGAAGGUGGGGAUGACGUCAAGUCCUCAUGGCCCUUAUGGGUAGGGCUUCACACGUCAUACAAUGGUCGGUACAGAGGGUUGCCAAGCCGCGAGGUGGAGCCAAUCCCAGAAAGCCGAUCGUAGUCCGGAUUGUUCUCUGCAACUCGAGAGCAUGAAGUCGGAAUCGCUAGUAAUCGCGGAUCAGCAUGUCGCGGUGAAUACGUUCCCGGGUCUUGUACACACCGCCCGUCACACCAUGGGAGUGGAAUCUGGCAGAAGUAGGUAGCCUAACCGCAAGGAGGGCGCUUACCACGCUGGGUUUCAUGACUGGGGUGAAGUCGUAACAAGGUAGCCGUAGGGGAACCUGCGGCUGGAUCACCUCCUU
rnacentral:rRNA from 1 species